GAUGAACGCUGGCGGCGUGCCUAACACAUGCAAGUCGAGCGAUCUCUUCGGAGAGAGCGGCGGACGGGUGAGUAACGCGUGGGUAACCUGCCCUGUACACACGGAUAACAUACCGAAAGGUAUACUAAUACGGGAUAACGUAUAAAAGUCGCAUGGCUUUUGUAUCAAAGCUCCGGCGGUACAGGAUGGACCCGCGUCUGAUUAGCUAGUUGGUAAGGUAAUGGCUUACCAAGGCAACGAUCAGUAGCCGACCUGAGAGGGUGAUCGGCCACACUGGAACUGAGACACGGUCCAGACUCCUACGGGAGGCAGCAGUGGGGAAUAUUGCACAAUGGGCGAAAGCCUGAUGCAGCAACGCCGCGUGAGCGAUGAAGGCCUUCAGGUCGUAAAGCUCUGUCCUCAAGGAAGAUAAUGACGGUACUUGAGGAGGAAGCCCCGGCUAACUACGUGCCAGCCGCCGCAGUAA
rnacentral:rRNA from 1 species